GCGGGCAUAGCUCAGCUGGUAGAGUGGAAGCUUCCCAAGCUUUAGGUCACGGGUUCAAGUCCCGCUGCCCGCU
rfam:Mucispirillum schaedleri ASF457 genomic scaffold acYAd-supercont1.3, whole genome shotgun sequence.